rnacentral:rRNA from 1 species
CUAACUGGAGGACCGAACCGACUAAUGUUGAAAAAUUAGCGGAUGACUUGUGGCUGGGGGUGAAAGGCCAAUCAAACCGGGAGAUAGCUGGUUCUCCCCGAAAGCUAUUUAGGUAGCGCCUCGUGAAUUCAUCUUCGGGGGUAGAGCACUGUUUCGGCUAGGGGGUCAUCCCGACUUACCAACCCGAUGCAAACUGCGAAUACCGAAGAAUGUUAUCACGGGAGACACACGGCGGGUGCUAACGUCCGUCGUGAAGAGGGAAACAACCCAGACCGCCAGCUAAGGUCCCAAAGUCAUGGUUAAGUGGGAAACGAUGUGGGAAGGCACAGACAGCCAGGAUGUUGGCUUAGAAGCAGCCAUCAUUUAAAGAAAGCGUAAUAGCUCACUGGUCGAGUCGGCCUGCGCGGAAGAUGUAACGGGGCUAAACCAUGCACCGAAGCUGCGGCAGCGACACUAUGUGUUGUUGGGUAGGGGAGCGUUCUGUAAGCCGUUGAAGGUGUAUCGUGAGGUAUGCUGGAGGUAUCAGAAGUGCGAAUGCUGACAUAAGUAACGAUAAUGCGGGUGAAAAACCCGCACGCCGGAAGACCAAGGGUUCCUGUCCAACGUUAAUCGGGGCAGGGUGAGUCGACCCCUAAGGCGAGGCCGAAAGGCGUAGUCGAUGGGAAACAGGUUAAUAUUCCUGUACUUGGUGUUACUGCGAAGGGGGGACGGAGAAGGCUAUGUUAGCCGGGCGACGGUUGUCCCGGUUUAAGCAUGUAGGCGGGAAGUUUAGGUAAAUCCGGACUUCUUUUAACGCUGAGGUGUGAUGACGAGGCACUACGGUGCUGAAGUAACAAAUGCCCUGCUUCCAGGAAAAGCCUCUAAGCAUCAGGUAACACGAAAUCGUACCCCAAACCGACACAGGUGGUCAGGUAGAGAAUACCAAGGCGCUUGAGAGAACUCGGGUGAAGGAACUAGGCAAAAUGGUGCCGUAACUUCGGGAGAAGGCACGCUGAUAUGUAGGUGAAGUGAUUUACUCAUGGAGCUGAAAUCAGUCGAAGAUACCAGCUGGCUGCAACUGUUUAUUAAAAACACAGCACUGUGCAAACACGAAAGUGGACGUAUACGGUGUGACGCCUGCCCGGUGCCGGAAGGUUAAUUGAUGGGGUUAUCCGUAAGGAGAAGCUCUUGAUCGAAGCCCCGGUAAACGGCGGCCGUAACUAUAACGGUCCUAAGGUAGCGAAAUUCCUUGUCGGGUAAGUUCCGACCUGCACGAAUGGCGUAAUGAUGGCCAGGCUGUCUCCACCCGAGACUCAGUGAAAUUGAACUCGCUGUGAAGAUGCAGUGUACCCGCGGCAAGACGGAAAGACCCCGUGAACCUUUACUAUAGCUUGACACUGAACACUGGUCCUUGAUGUGUAGGAUAGGUGGGAGGCUUUGAAGUGUGGACGCCAGUCUGCAUGGAGCCAUCCUUGAAAUACCACCCUUUAAUGGCUGGUGUUCUAACGUAGACCCGU